UACGUAGGGGGCAAGCGUUGUCCGGAAUCAUUGGGCGUAAAGCGCGUGUAGGCGGCUCGGUAAGUCUGCUGUGAAAGUCCAGGGCUCAACCCUGGGAUGCCGGUGGAUACUGUCGAGCUCGAGUCCGGAAGAGGCGAGUGGAAUUCCUGGUGUAGCGGUGAAAUGCGCAGAUAUCAGGAGGAACACCCGUGGCGAAGGCGGCUCUCUGGGACGGUACUGACGCUGAGACGCGAAAGCGUGGGGAGCAAACAGG
rnacentral:rRNA from 1 species